UUUUUUUUUUUUUUUUUAAUACCUUAAAUACUUCUUGACUCUCUUAUCUUUAAGGCUUAGAAGGAAAACUUCAGGUGUGAGCCCAGGGUGUGUGCUGGGGGUGGGCGUGGAGGUCCUGUGGUGUCACGGCCCUCCUUGUUUGCCCAGGGCCCAGUCACACAGAGCAGGAGCUUCUCCGCCUGACCGACGACUCCCCCGUCGACCUCCUGUGUGCGCCUGUCCCCUCGUGCCUGCCGUCCCCUCAGCUGAGACCAGACCCCGUUAUCCUCCAAUCUGCUGAUCUCAUUCAGUUUGAGGAGCGCCCUCAAGAGCCUUCUGAAAUUAUGAUUUUAAACCAAGAAGAAAAAAUGGAGAUUCCAAUACCAGGAAAGAGCAAAACUCUGACCUCUGACUCCAGCUCGUCCUGCAUCUCAGCAGCUGUCCCCGUGCCUCCCUGCCCCUCCUCGGAAACCUCCGAGUCACUGCUCAGCAAGGACCCCGUGGAAAGCC
rnacentral:lncRNA from 10 species